rnacentral:tRNA from 1 species
GCCGGCGUAGCCCAACGGCAGAGGCGCGAUCUUUAGGUGGUCGACAGUGCGGGUUCGAAUCCCGCCGCCGGCA